UGUAUGAACAAGUUGAAGAGUGACUAGGGACAGCAGACGACACGUCCCCCCUAGCGAGGCAGCGAGGAACCAAUACGUAAACACCACAUUUCACAUCUGAAAAAUAAUUUUCACACAUCGCGAUCACUUUAUCUGCCACACCACUGCAGGCUUUGGGAGGCUUCUGGUAAUCAUUAAUGAUGUUCAACGUUACUUAAAGAAGAGCCUCUCCCAAGAUGUCUGAUUCUGAGACUGAGCUUCCCUCUUGCACAAGUAAAGACUUGGGGGAGAGUGUGCGAAGCACCAAGAAGGAGAAGCAAAGGGCCAGGAAAAGGUGGAAGAUGAUCUCAAGCAGUUCAGAGAGAGAAGAGGAAGAGGAGGAGGAG